rnacentral:rRNA from 1 species
GAUGAACGCUGGCGGCGUGCCUAAUACAUGCCAGUCGAGCGAACAGACGAGGAGCUUGCUCCUCUGACGUUAGCGGCGGACGGGUGAGUAACACGUGGAUAACCUACCUAUAAGACUGGGAUAACUUCGGGAAACCGGAGCUAAUACCGGAUAAUAUAUUGAACCGCAUGGUUCAAUAGUGAAAGACGGUUUUGCUGUCACUCAUAGAUGGAUCCGCGCCGCAUUAGCUAGUUGGUAAGGUAACGGCUUACCAAGGCAACGAUGCGUAGCCGACCUGAGAGGGUGAUCGGCCACACUGGAACUGAGACACGGUCCAGACUCCUACGGGAGGCAGCAGUAGGGAAUCUUCCGCAAUGGGCGAAAGCCUGACGGAGCAACGCCGCGUGAGUGAUGAAGGUCUUCGGAUCGUAAAACUCUGUUAUUAGGGAAGAACAAAUGUGUAAGUAACUAUGCACGUCUUGACGGUACCUAAUCAGAAAGCCACGGCUAACUACGUG